rnacentral:tmRNA from 1 species
GGGGAUGAUGGGUUUCGAUAAGGGAAUCGGUCGUUUUGCGUCGGGCCGGGAUUGGUAAAUCCCGCCAAAAUUACCAAACCAACAACUGCCAACCAAAAGUUUGCAGUUCCUUUCCGCGUUCCGGCUUUUGCCUAAGUACGCGCUUUAAGGACAUCGCCUUGGCCUAUUGCCCUUCCCGGGGCCAAUCGGCGGUGUAAUAAACGAAGGGAUAGCCUUUUCUAGGUCAUUGGUUCCUCCCGGAAAUAGGUGAAAAUGAAGAACUUUUUUCUGGCGCAAGCCAGUACGCCUCGUAUAAGCGCGAAUCGUCCAGUCCUUUAGACGAGGGUUCAACUCCCUCCAUCUCCACAC